CGGGAAACCGGAGCUAAUACGGAUAAUAUAUUGAACCGCAUGGUUCAAUGUGAAAGACGGUUUUGCUGUCACUUAUAGAUGGAUCCGCGCCGCAUUAGCUAGUUGGUAAGGUAACGGCUUACCAAGGCAACGAUGCGUAGCCGACCUGAGAGGGUGAUCGGCCACACUGGAACUGAGACACGGUCCAGACUCCUACGGGAGGCAGCAGGG
rnacentral:rRNA from 1 species